GGCCGUCGUAGCUCAGCAGGUAGAGCGCCUGGCUCAUAACCAGGUGGUCGCUGGUUCAAAUCCGGCUGGGCCCACCA
rnacentral:tRNA from 1 species